GAUCCUAGCUCAGGAUGAACGCUAGCGGCAGGCUUAACACAUGCAAGUCGAGGGGCAGCAUAAUGGAUAGCAAUAUCUAUGGUGGCGACCGGCGCACGGGUGCGUAACGCGUAUGCAACCUACCUUUAACAGGGGGAUAGCACUGAGAAAUUGGUACUAAUACCCCAUAAUAUCAUAGAAGGCAUCUUUUAUGGUUGAAAAUUCCGAUGGUUAGAGAUGGGCAUGCGUUG
rnacentral:rRNA from 1 species